rnacentral:rRNA from 1 species
UACGUAGGGUGCAGGCGUUAAUCGGAAUUACUGGGCGUAAAGCGUGCGCAGGCGGUUUGCUAAGACAGGUGUGAAAUCCCCGGGCUUAACCUGGGAACUGCGCUUGUUACUGGCAAGCUAGAGUGUGGCAGAGGGGGGUGGAAUUCCAGGUGUAGCAGUGAAAUGCGUAGAUAUCUGGAGGAACACCGAUGGCGAAGGCAGCCCCCUGGGCUAACACUGACGCUCAUGCACGAAAGCGUGGGGAGCAAACAGG